rnacentral:rRNA from 1 species
CGAAGUAAGAAAGGGCGUACGGUGGAUGCCUAGGCUCUCACAGGCGAUGAAGGACGUGAUAAGCUGCGAUAAGCUUCGGGGAGGUGCAAAUGACCUUUGAUCCGGAGAUUUCCGAAUGGGACAACCCGGCAGGCUGAAGGCCUGUCAUCCGAUGCAUAUCGGAGGCAAACGCGGGGAACUGAAACAUCUUAGUACCCGCAGGAAGAGAAAAUAAAAAUGAUUCCCCUAGUAGUGGCGAGCGAACGGGGAAGAGCCCAAACCGCUGCGGUUCCGGCCGCGGCGGGGUUGUAGGACUGCAACAUCGAGAAGAAGAAGUGAGUGGAACGCGCUGGAAAGUGCGGCCAUAGCGGGUGAUAGCCCCUUACACGAAGCCUCUUUCAUCGUAGCAGUAUCCUGAGUAGCGCGGGACACGUGAAAUCCUGUGUGAAUCCGGCGGGCCCAUCCGCCAAGGCUAAAUACUCGUGAGAGACCGAUAGUGAACCAGUACCGUGAGGGAAAGGUGAAAAGCACCGCGCGUAGCGGAGUGAAAUAGUCCCUGAAUCCGUACGCCUACAAGCGGUCGGAGCAACAUUAUGUUGUGACGGCGUGCCUUUUGCAUAAUGAACCUACGAGUUGCCGUCGCCGGCGAGGUUAAGCGCAACGAUGCGCGCAGCCGAAGCGAAAGCGAGUCUUAAACGGGCGCAUAGUCCGCGGCGGCAGACGCGAAACCGAGUGAUCUACCCUUGUCCAGGCUGAAGUCCGGGUAACACCGGAUGGAGGGCCGAACCAAUAAGCGUUGAAAAGCUUCUGGAUGAGGUGAGGGUAGGAGUGAAAGGCCAAUCAAACUCGGAGAUAGCUCGUACUCCCCGAAAUGCAUUUAGGUGCAGCCCCCGUUGUUUCCUGCAUGAGGUAGAGCGACUGAUCGGAUGCGAGGGCUUCACCGCCUAUCAAGUCCGGACAAACUCCGAAUGCGUGCAGGUUAGAGACGGGGAGUGAGGGCAUGGGUGCUAAGGUCCGUGCCCGAGAGGAGAAGAAUCCAGACCGCCGGCUAAGGUCCCGAAUUACAGGUUAAGUUAGUCUAACGAAGUGUUGUCCCGAAGACAGCUAGGAUGUUGGCUUGGAAGCAGCCAUUCAUUCAAAGAGUGCGUAACAGCUCACUAGUCGAGGGACGUCGCAUGGAUAAUAAUCGGGUAUGAAAUCUGUAACCGAAGCCGCGGGAUGUCAUAAGACAUCGGUAGGGGAGCAUUCCACCGGCGUUGAAUGUCGAAGAUGACUUCGGCUGGAGCUUGUGGAAAAGCAAAUGUAGGUAUAAGUAACGAUAAAGAGGGUUAGAUGCCCUCUCGCCGAAAGACCAAGGAUUCCCGGGCAACGUUAAUCGCCCCGGGGUUAGUCGGGCCCUAAGGAUAAGCCGAACGGCGAGGCCGAUGGAAGAAACGGUUAAUAUUCCGUUACUGCCUUGCAUGGCGAUGUGGAGACGGAGAAGUGACACUUCCGCGCACUGACGGAAACGUGCGUUGAAGAGUGUAGGCGUAGAUCGUGGUAGGCAAAUCCGCCGCGAGAGCCGAACUUGACAGUACGCAAAGCCUUCGGGCGGCGCGAUAGCGAAGGUAAACAAGCUCCCGAGAAAAUCCGCUAAGCUUAACAUGCAAGGUACCCGUACCGUAAACGGACACACGUGGUCGGGUAGAAAAUACUAAGGCGCUUGGAAGAUUCACGGUUAAGGAACUAGGCAAAUUGACCCCGUACCUUCGGAAUAAGGGGUCCUCGCUUUUGCGAGGCGCAGAGAAUAGGUCCAGGCAACUGUUUAACAAAAACACAGGGCUGUGCAAAUUCGAAAGAUGAAGUAUACAGCCUGACACCUGCCCGGUGCUGGAAGGUUAAGAGGAGAUGUCACCGCAAGGGAAGCAUCGAAUUGAAGCCCCAGUAAACGGCGGCCGUAACUAUAACGGUCCUAAGGUAGCGAAAUUCCUUGUCGGGU